AUUCCUGGGCUUAAACAUGUGACUCCAGUAUAUGCCCUGCACACAGUUCUUCUGGUUGAAUCUUCCUUCCCAAAAUCCCAAUGAUGCAUCAGGCUACUCUUCGGAUUCUCCGUAUCACAUGAAAGAUACAGGCCUUGUCCAUGAUGUUACAUAUAAGGCUGGCAAUUAAAUGAAGGACAAAUGGGUAGAAACAACCUUUUUGGGAAAUUUUUUAAAUGAGUUAAUGAUCCAUUCCGUAAGCAUUACAAACUGAAGUAAUGCCCUAUUUUGUGGAUGAGGAAAUCUAGACUGAUAAGAGUCCCACGGUCACAGAGUGAAGAAAUGGGAACAUUGGGCUGUCCAGCUUUUUCCACUCAGUACACCAUACCGUGUCUAUGUCACCUGGAUCUAAGAGUUAGUUGAGGUUGGGAUAAGAGAAAUAAAAGGCUAACCAUGAUGCUAAAAUGUCUGAAUCAUUAUUGACUUACCGGCUUGUCAACAAUCUAAUACACAAGGAGAGC
rnacentral:lncRNA from 10 species